rnacentral:rRNA from 1 species
CCUANGGGAGGCAGCAGUCGAGAAUUUUUCACAAUGGGCGAAAGCCUGAUGGAGCGACGCCGCGUGGGGGAUGAAUGGCUUCGGCCCGUAAACCCCUGUCAUUCGCGAUCAAACGUUAUUAUUUAAAAGAUGAUGACCUGAUAGUAGCGGAAGAGGAAGGGACGGCUAACUCUGUGCCAGCAGCCGCGGUAAUACAGAGGUCCCGAGCGUUGUUCGGAUUCACUGGGCGUAAAGGGUGCGUAGGUGGUGAGGUAAGUCGGAUGUGAAAUCUCGGAGCUCAACUCCGAAAAGGCAUUGGAAACUACCUUGCUGGAGGGUUGGAGGGGGGACUGGAAUGCUUGGUGUAGCAGUGAAAUGCGUAGAUAUCAAGCGGAACACCAGUGGCGAAGGCGAGUCCCUGGACAACACCUGACACUGAGGCACGAAAGCUAGGGGAGCAAACAGGAUUAGAUACCCCANUANUC